UAGGACCUGAGAACUUACCUUGUUGU
rnacentral:piRNA from 1 species